AUCCAGAUGAUGAGUCUCAAACAGGACGAAACGCACGUCCUGGAU
rnacentral:hammerhead_ribozyme from 1 species